GACGAACGCUGGCGGCGUGCUUAACACAUGCAAGUCGAACGGAAAGGCCCUGCUUUUGUUGGGUGCUCGAUUGGCGAACGGGUGAGUAACACGUGAGUAUCCUGCCCUUGACUUUCGGAUAACUUCAGGAAACUGGGGCUAUUACCGGAUAUGAGCUCCUGCUGCACGGUGGGGGUUGGAAAGUUUCGGCGGUUGUGGCUGGACUCGCGGCUUAUCAGCUUGUUUGUGUGGUAGUGGCUUACCAAGGCUUUGACGGAUAGCCUGCCUGAGAGGGUGACCGGCGACCAUGCGCCUAAGGUACGGCGCAGACUCCAACGGGAGGCAACAGUGGGGAAUAUUGCACAGUGGGGGGAAGCCUGAUACAGCAACGCCGCGUGCGGGAUGACGGCCUUCGGGUUGAGAACCGCUUUCGCCUGUGACGAAGCGUGAGUGACGGUAAUGAGUAAAGAAGCACCGGCUAACUACGUG
rnacentral:rRNA from 1 species